GAUCCUGGCUUAGGAUGAACGCUAGCUACAGGCUUAACACAUGCAAGUCGAGGGCAGCAUUGGAGUAGCAAUACUCAGAUGGCGACCGGCGCACGGGUGAGUAACACGUAUCCAACCUGCCGCUUACUCGGGGAUAGCCUUUCGAAAGAAAGAUUAAUACCCGAUGGUAUAAAGAGUUCGCAUGUUCUCUUUAUUAAAGAAUUUCGGUAAGCGAUGGGGAUGCGUUCCAUUAGAUAGUUGGCGGGUAACGGCCCACCAAGUCUACGAUGGAUAGGGGUUCUGAGAGGAAGGUCCCCCACAUUGGAACUGAGACACGGUCCAAACUCCUACGGGAGGCAGCAGUAGGGAAUCUUCCGCAAUGGACGAAAGUCUGACGGAGCAACGCCGCGUGAGUGAAGAAAGGUUUUCGGAUCGUAAAACUCUGUUGUCAGAGAAGAACAAGUUGGAGAGUAACUGCUCCAGCCUUGACGGUAUCUGACCAGGAAGCCACGGCUAACUACGUGCCAGCAGCCGC
rnacentral:rRNA from 1 species